UACGUAGGGGGCUAGCGUUGUCCGGAUUUAUUGAGCGUAAAGAGCGUGUAGGCGGCCUGACAAGUCUGCUGUGAAAACUCGAGGCUCAACCUCGAGAUGUCGGCGGAAACUGUCUGGCUAGAGUCCGGAAGAGGAGAGUGGAAUUCCUGGUGUAGCGGUGAAAUGCGCAGAUAUCAGGAAGAACACCUAUGGCGAAGGCAGCUCUCUGGGACGGUACUGACGCUGAGACGCGAAAGCGUGGGGAGCGAACAGG
rnacentral:rRNA from 1 species